UUAUAUAUCCCUGAAAAAGAUGGAGGAAUGGGCUUUCAUGAUCUCCACUCUUCCAACUUGGCAAUGUUAGCUAAGCAAGUAUGGUGGCUGAUUGAUGAACCUGAAUCCCUUUGUGCAAGGGUACUGAGAGCAAAAUACUACCCCUCUAGUGAUAUUUUAAAAGUAGGGCCCAACAAAGGAUCUUCCUUUACUUGGCAGAGCUUAGUAGCGGGUAUUCAGACUUUCAAGCAUGGGCACAUAUGGAGGAUUGGCACUGGGGAAAAGAUCAAUAUUUGGGAGGACCAUUGGAUUCCCUUGAGCCCCACUAUACAAAUUAUUACGCCCUAG
rnacentral:rRNA from 1 species